rnacentral:lncRNA from 1 species
CCUUUUCGGGAGUGCUAGCUCGUAUGAAGAUUAUCUGAUGGUAGAUCUGAUCUGAUCUCUAUCUUCGAACAACGUGGAUCCUUCUGAUACUAAAGAUAGAUUGAAGGAGGAUGUAGGUGGUGGAAGAAAGAUAGAGAAACACCUUUUUCUGCUUUGGAUUCUUCUCUCUCAAAAAAACUCAGCGUCAAGACCCAAAUCGCUCACCCAAAAGGAGACGGAUCUCC